rfam:Oryza rufipogon genomic scaffold, chr04
ACCGGAUGGGACAUUUCCUAGUACUACGAAUCUGGACAUGCAGUCUGUCCAGAUUCGUAGUACUAGAAAAUGUCACAUCCGGU